UGUGAGAUUUCUUCCUGUAUCUUUCUUUUGUCCUGAAAUGAAAGAAACGUUGGAGCGUAAUUAAUUUUAAAAGUUUACAGAGGGAGAGAUCUUGAUCCUAGAAAGAGCAGAACAUGAAUACCUAUGGAGAAAUUGAUGCCUGAGAGUGGCCUCGGACAGCAACCGUGGUGGUUUCAGUUUCUGGUGGGCUUCAUUUCAGAGGGGGAAAAUCAUAAACACAAUUGUAAAAGUGACGCAAUCUUGGGCAAAGCGAAAGAUAUCAAAAGACACAAAAUGGCACGUGUCCCAAUUUUUGGAAGACGUAUAAAGGUGAAUUAAGAGUAUUUGAAGACUAAUAAACUUAUUUACUAUCCCCUG